AUUGAACGCUGGCGGCAGGCCUAACACAUGCAAGUCGAACGAGCGGCGGACGGGUGAGUAAUGUCUGGGAAACUGCCUGAUGGAGGGGGAUAACUACUGGAAACGGUAGCUAAUACCGCAUACCAUCAGAUGUGCCCAGAUGGGAUUAGCUAGUAGGUGGGGUAAUGGCUCACCUAGGCGACGAUCCCUAGCUGGUCUGAGAGGAUGACCAGCAACACUGGAACUGAUACACGGUCCAGACUCCUACGGGAGGCAGCAGUGGGGAAUAUUGCACAAUGGGCGCAAGCCUGAUGCAGCAAUGCCGCGUGUAUGAAGAAGGCCGUCGGGUUGUAAAGCAAUUUCAGCGGGGAGGCGUUACUCGCAGAAGAAGCACCGGAUAACUCCGUGCCAGCAGCCGCGGUAAUAC
rnacentral:rRNA from 1 species